rnacentral:rRNA from 1 species
AGGCUGCAACUCGCCUGCAUGAAGUUGGAAUUGCUAGUAAUCGCGAAUCAGAAUGUCGCGGUGAAUACGUUCCCGGGCCUUGUACACACCGCCCGUCACACCAUGAGAGUCGAUAACACCCGAAGCCUGUGAGCUAACCGCAAGGGGGCAGCAGUCGAAGGUGGGGUUNAUGAUUGGGGUGAAGUCGUAACAAGGUACC